GUUAGCGGUGGUUGAACCAGUCAGUGGAUUAUUAUCUCCCUUUGCUCCAUUGUGCCUGUAUUCUAGCAGGAGGCGCUGCCUUUACUCCACAGAAUAAAACAGAUCUUUGAGCUUCCACGUACUUAUUUCCUUUGACAGAUGCAUAUAGUAACCUACAGAUCACUGUGACUGUAAAUCAUGCUGCUCAGUCUCGCUGUCUACAAAGAACAGCUCUGCAUCCCUGCCUGCUCGCUGCUCAGCUCACUUCCCUAAGGCUGCACAAGCAGUUUGAUCAUCUGGCUGAAAAACAAAUAUUGAGUUAUUACUGCAUUUUUUUUAAAUGUGGGGUAGAUUUUCAGCUUUUGUAAAUCACUACAUACCAGCCAAAUUUUC
rnacentral:lncRNA from 1 species